UACGUAGGUGGCGAGCGUUGUCCGGAUUUACUGGGCGUAAAGAGCGCGCAGGCGGUCGUUCAAGUUGCGUGUGAAAGCCCCCGGCUCAACUGGGGAGGGUCACGCGAUACUGAUCGACUCGAAGGCAGGAGAGGGAAGUGGAAUUCCCGGUGUAGUGGUGAAAUGCGUAGAGAUCGGGAAGAACAUCGGUGGCGAAAGCGCUCUGCUGGACUGCAACUGACACUCAGGGACGAAAGCUAGGGGAGCGAAUGGG
rnacentral:rRNA from 1 species